ACGGAGGGUGCGAGCGUUGUCCGGAAUCACUGGGCGUAAAGGGCGCGUAGGCGGUGGGGUAAGCGUGUGGUGAAAGUCCGGGGCUCAACCCCGGAUCGGCCGUGCGAACUGCUUCACUUGAGCACUGUAGAGGCAGGUGGAAUUCCGGGUGUAGCGGUGGAAUGCGUAGAGAUCCGGAAGAACACCGGUGGCGAAGGCGGCCUGCUGGGCAGUGGCUGACGCUGAGGCGCGACAGCGUGGGGAGCAAACAGGA
rnacentral:rRNA from 1 species